CAUUAAUGCACCUAAAGUAUUUUUUCCAAGUGGUUUGUUCUCAAACCAUGUCUCAUGUCUCAUCUGCUGUAUGGUAUUUUGGUCGCGGACGCUGAAAAAGUACAUCACAUUUAUGGUUCAAUUUCCCUAAAUAAUAAGUGUAAGAAGCAACUGGACACAAGUUCCUAUCUUUUUCUUCAUAAAUUACGCCACCCGACGAAUCCUCUACAUCAGUGCGAUGAUUUUUUGUCAAUUCUGAUCCAUUUUUUUUAAUGUAUUUUUGAC
rnacentral:lncRNA from 1 species